AAAUAAAAUUACAAAACUAUAUAAAGCAGGCAAUUAGCUUGUCGUGUAUAAUAUAUACAUUUACAAAAUAAAAACCACUUUAUUUCUUUUCAGCAUAUAUAUACAUCAUACAUUACAAGUUAAUUCUGGUUUUAUGCAGUAUAGGACAAAUAAGAGUUAUCUUUCUUUAUAUCUCAAACAGUAGUUGAAAUGUGUAACCCCAUGUCCUCUUUUUAGUGACCUCAUGCUUUUCAUGAACCUUGUAAUUAGAAUAAAUAAAAGGGUAUAUUAUACACAGUAAGAAAUGACGCAGUUUGAAGAAAUGCAGACUAAGGAGACAAAAACAGCGAGAUAAGUAAAAUACAAUAAGGGAAUGGGAAGACAAAAACACUGAUGUACUUACAAAUUAAUGUUCUUUUUGAAAAAGAAUCAGAAAGUACAGAAAAAAAGUGCAGCAAUAAACGUCACAUAUUCUUGUGAAACGUAUGCAUUUUAUCUAGGACACCAGGGCAUUUAAAACAGAAUUGCAUAGAUAAGAACGAACUGAGUGUGAUGUUCGCGGAGAUUAUUAAUUCAUUAAUAUUUAGAUUGGUUUCUGGUAUUGUUUGUAAGAUUGCAUAUAUAUUUACCAGUAGUAUUAUUUAAAAAAAUGAGUAAAUAAACACAUAAUAAAUAAAGUCAUUAUACAUCCAUACAUAUUUGUGGUUGUUUGAAAUAAUAAAAUGUUUGAUUUUUAUUCA